rnacentral:rRNA from 1 species
CCUACGGGGGGCAGCAGUAGGGAAUAUUGCUCAAUGGGGGAAACCCUGAAGCAGCAACGCCGCGUGGAGGAAGAAGGUUUUCGGAGUGUAAACCCCUUUUGUUAGAGAAGAAAAUGACGGUACCUAACGAAUAAGCACCGGCUAACUCCGUGCCAGCAGCCGCGGUAAUACGGAGGGUGCAAGCGUUAUCCGGAUUCACUGGGCGUAAAGAGCGCGUAGGCGGGAUAGCAAGUCAGAUGUGAAAUCCUUGGGCUUAACCCCAGGACUGCAGUUGAAACUGGUAGUCUGGAGUAUGGGAGAGGCAGGCGGAAUUCUUGGUGUAGGGGUGAAAUGCGUAGAGAUCAAGAGGAAUACUGAUUGCGAAGGCGGCCUGCUGGAGCACGACUGACGCUGAGGCACGAAGGCGUGGGGAGCGAACAGGAUUAGAUACCCGUGUAGUC